rnacentral:snRNA from 1 species
GUAUUUACAUGGCAGGAUUUACCAUGAUGGCAAAAAUGGUUUUCCCUAGGUAAGGCUUAACUGUUGCACUCUGAAUGUGCUGACUUCUGUGAUUUCCCCAAAUGUGGGAGAUGCCGACUGUGUAAUUUAUAAUAGUGGAUACUGCGUUUGCAUUCUACCCC